CGGACGGGUGAGUAACGCGUGAGAACCUACCCUUUGGAGAGGGAUAGCCACUGGAAACGGUGAUUAAUACCUCGUAUGCUGAGGAGUGAAAGGUCGAAAGACCGCCAAGGGAUGGGCUUGCGUCUGAUUAGCUCGUUGGUGGGGUAAAGGCCUACCAAGGCGAUGAUCAGUAGCUGGUCUGAGAGGACAAUCAGCCACACUGGGACUGAGACACGGCCCAGACUCCUACGGGAGGCAGCAGUGAGGAAUUUUCCGCAAUGGGCUAACGCCUGACGAAGCAAUGCCGCGUGGAGGAGGAAGGCCUGUGGGUCGUAAACUCCUUUUCUCAGAGAAGAAGUUCUGACGGUAUCUGAGGAAUAAGCAUCGGCUAACUCCGUGCCAGCAGCCGCGGUAAUACGGGGGAUGCAAGCGUUAUCCGGAAUUAUUGGGCGUAAAGCGUCCCGAGGUGGCUUACCUAGUCGACUGUGAAAGCUCAAGGCUUAACCUUGAAACUGCAGUCGAAACUUGUAAGCUUGAGUACGGUAGAGGCAGAGGGAAUUCCCGGAGGAGAGGUGAAAUUCGUAGAUAUCGGGAGGAAGGCCAAAGGCGAAAGCACUCUGCUGGGCCGAUUACUGACACUAACAGACGAAAGCUAGGGGAGCGAAUGGGAUUAGAUACCCCUGUAGUC
rnacentral:rRNA from 1 species